rnacentral:lncRNA from 1 species
AACAUGGACUUAUGAUGAUUUUGAAUCAUUGAGUGUUGAAGUGAUAAACCACUUAACGAGACGGAAACUAGGCUAGGACUUCACCUUUGUGUCCCUAUCCAAAUGGUUCACUAAGUUUAUUGUAAACUAUAUAGUGAACAAUAACCACACAUUCUCCAAUUGUUUGAUGUGUAUAACACAAUUGAAAUAUGUUUCAAGAGAGAUAGUGGGAGUUUAGGGACCAUGACUAUUGUAGUCAAAGGAGAAGUCAAAUGAAGAAAGCGAAAUAAACUCCAAGAGAACAAACUUUCUUUAUGAAAGGAUGGACAUUGGAAGGGGUAUUUGCAAGAAAUGUCUUGCAAGUGUCAAGAACACACUUUUUGAAGGUGUUGUAAAUUGUUCUUGAAUAGUUCAAAACAGUUGGUUCUUUUACUUGAAUGCAUGAUUCCGUAUUAGUAACUAUGUUUUACAAUCGUUGUAAAAAUGUGGCUAAUAAGAAGUAGAAGAUUAAUGAGAGAAGAGAAAGUACUUCAUAUUCGAAACGUGAAUAAAAUAUAGAUCUCUGCGAAAGCAGUUGGUACUUACUUCCUCAUAUGAACUACAAAAGAAAAUGGAAAAACAAAGAUUGUCUUUACAUUCCAAUUGAAUAAAGGAACUUAAUUCCAUAUGUUAAAUGGAUAAAUGUUUUGUUUGACAAAACAUUGUUCUUUAUUAAUGAAUGAUUAGAUUAUUGUAAUCUAAUUAAUUAUCUCUAUAGUAGAGAUGAUAUGGUAGUGUUAAUUGUUUAGAAAAUAACGAUGCUUAAAACCCAAAAGGUUGCAAGGUAGUGACUAAUCCCAACUAAAGUUGUGAUACCUCUAAAACAUAAAUUAUGAGUUGGUCAUAGAUGGAUGCUUUGGAUCGUUAGAUCCGGAUCCAAUACCUUCUUAUUAAAAUUGUAUGGAGGCGAAAUGUU